rnacentral:lncRNA from 1 species
CAGGACUCGCGGGGGUGGGAACCACAACACGGGACCCCAACAGGCACUCCACAAUUGUCUUUUUAUCUCAACUGCCCUCUGGUACUCUUUCUGGAUGGCAAGUUCCCAGGACAGUGUGGUCCUAAGAGAUGCUCACCCGGCCUCAUUCUUGGGACCUCUGUAUAGCAGUUCCGGGUAGCCACCCCCCUCAUGAACUGUUGAGGGGCCCUGGCAGAUGCACGGGAGGUUUUCCAGAUGGCAGAGGUGCUUAAACCCUGCAUUAUCUGCGAGGAAGGCUGGUGGAGUGGUCUGGAGGACAGGUGGACAGCCGUAUUCAGUGUGCGGGGGUUGGUCCUACCUCGAAGGCAUGACCAGCCUGCAGAUUCUUCUGUGGAUCUCCCACCGUCUUGGCAUUUGGAGAAGAGGGCUCAUGGCGGAGUGGGCAGGAGGCCGUUCUCAGGUGUGGAAAGGCUACUCCAGCUGUCUGGUUUGCAAUCAUUAAGUGUGAAUUAGGACAGAGCAAAAGCUCUUUCCUUCCUUCACAGCUCCCACCACCCCUCCCCCGCCCCCGUUUGUUUAGAUGGAGACAUGGUGGAAAAAAAAAAAAAAAGACUCCAGCAGAGACUCCAGCAUCCUGUGAUGCACUGAACGCUAGCCGGUGUCCACGGAGGUCCGGUGACUCGGUAUGCACAAUGCCACACACUUGGAAACUGGAAACACAUCUACAUGGCCCUGUGCAGCAACUACAGGGACCAAUGGAGGCCACACUUCUCUCUCCUGUCACGGACUUCAGCUCCCAGGAGCAACCCAGGAACCACCAGAAAUGCCAGCCGGCCGGGAUGUCAAGCCCUUUCAACAGGACGAUGGCAUCAGGAGGUGAUAAGGUCAAGAGGGCGAAGCCCUCGGGAUUGGAAUCCUGCUGGCUUCAAAGGGAGCUGCCUGCACCCCACCCCGCAGAAGGACCCAUGGAGAGCUCACCAUCCAUCUACUGCUGACUUUCCUCAUUGCCAUGGCAAAGGAUCAAACAGAAGCAACUUGAGGGAGGUGCUGCCUUUGUUGGCUCACGGUUUUCUGGGUUCAGUCUGAUCUGGUGGAGAAAGCAUGGCGGAUGUCUGGAGCUAGUGGAUAAACUUGUUCAGAUCUUUGUGGAUGGGGAAGCAGGGCUGAGUUCUAUCCCUCCAGGGGGACCCAGUACUGCUAGGUACUAGACCCAGAGUCCCAAAGUUUUCCCAACCUUCCAAAGCAAUACCUUCAAUAGAGGAGCAUGAGCCUGUGAGAGAUUAAGCAAAUCUUAACAGUGGGGAAGCAAAGGCUAAGUUUGUCAGAGCCUUGCCCUUGUACUUCCAGCCCCAGGUCUCUAGAGCAGUGACUCUAUAGUUCAUAAAGCUACCCAGCCUGUGAUAUUUUCAGAUCACAUCUCAGAUGGACUAAGGCAAUUUUUAACUAAACCCUAUUUGUUGUGGUAUUUCCAAACCCUCUUUGUAACCCUCCUGAUACCAGCACAUUUACAGGAACUAAAAACUGGACUCUAGAGCCUUGCUUUCUUUUUUCCCCCCUGCUUACAUGUUUUCUGAACAUCUGAAUUUGCAAUGUUGUAGAAACCAAAGGUUUUACACAAGAUUAGAGUCUUUUAGCCUCCCUACAAAACUCAGAAAUCUUGUGAAAUAGGGUCCUUGGUUUCUCCUGGGCAGAAGACUGAAGGAGAGAGACAGGAAGACAGAAGGGAAGGAAGGCAAGGAGAGAGACAAAGUCAGAGAGAGAGAGAGAGAGAGAGAGAAAGGGGGGAGGUAGAGAGAAUAAAAGAGGGGGCAAGACUAAAGGUAAGAGGGGGAGGUACAUAAGGAGGGGAGGAGAGAGACAGAGUCAGAGAGAGGGGGAGAGAAGGAGGAAGGGAGAGAGAAAGAGGGAGAGAGGUGAAAGGAAAGAGGAGGGAGGAAGGAAGGGAAGGGGAGAGAGAGGUAAAAGGGAGAGGAG